rnacentral:rRNA from 1 species
UACGUAGGGUGCGAGCGUUAAUCGGAAUUACUGGGCGUAAAGCGUGCGCAGGCGGUUCGUUGUGUCGGCGGUGAAAGCCCCGGGCUCAACCUGGGAAUGGCCGUUGAAACUGGCGAACUGGAGUGUGGCAGAGGGGGGUGGAAUUCCGCGUGUAGCAGUGAAAUGCGUAGAGAUCCGGAGGAACACCGACGGCGUAGGCAGCGCCCUGGACGACACCUGACGCUGAGGCACGAAAGCUGGGGGAGCGAACAGG